rnacentral:rRNA from 1 species
GAUGAACGCUGGCGGCGUGCUUAACACAUGCAAGUCGAACGGAAAGGCUCCUGCUUGCAGGGGUACUCGAGUGGCGAACGGGUGAGUAACACGUGGGUGAUCUGCCCUGCACUUCGGGAUAAGCCUGGGAAACUGGGUCUAAUACCGGAUAGGACGAUGGUUUGGAUGCCAUUGUGGAAAGUUUUUCGGUGUGGGAUGAGCUCGCGGCCUAUCAGCUUGUUGGUGGGGUAAUGGCCUACCAAGGCGUCGACGGGUAGCCGGCCUGAGAGGGUGUACGGCCAAAAUGGGAAUGAGGUAAGGGCCAGACUCCUACGGGAGGCAGCAGUGGGGAAUAUUGCACAAUGGGCGCAAGCCUGAUGCAGCGACGCCGCGUGGGGGAUGACGGCCUUCGGGUUGUAAACUCCUUUCGUCAGGGACGAAGCGAAAGUGACGGUACCUGGAGAAGAAGCACCGGCUAACUACGUG